CUCCCCCGGCGCCCCCUGGCGGCUGAGGGGCUGCCGUGCUUCCCCUCACGGCGGCCCCGCCAGCCCUUCGGGCCGCUGCCGGAGUGGCUGAGCACUUUUGGGGGAGGGUUUUCCUCCCCCGUGGACGUUAUUCCUUCCCCGAGGAGGAUAUUCCUUCCCCGUGGCGCUGACAGACCCGCCGAGGCCAGGCUAGUCCCCGGCAUGAGGCGGGUCCACAUCGCACCCUCCCUCCCUCAGGACGUUCCCACUCCUGACAGCCCCUUCCAGAAAGGAGGGGUAUAAAAGAACAGGAUUCGCUCUCGAAUUAGGCUCCUGACAGCCGCCUGACAUCUCCUUCCAGAGAGGACGGGUGAAAAACACCCCCAGGAAUCGCUCUUGUAUUAGUUUAUUCUCAUCCAGGAAGUUUUGAAUGCUGGUGUCCUUGAUGUGGAAUUCCUAGCUCUCUUCCCUGUCCACCAGGAGCAGAAGGCUUCGCUGGACCUGCAGAGGCUCGCAGGGCAGGUGCAGUUGUCACCAGGAGAUGGACGGGUCACUCGUCACUCCCCCACUUUGGCUUCCAAUUGAAGCAGAGAUUAAUGCCGGUGUUACCCCUUCUAAAACAGGCCGAAAAACAGCCACAGGACAGGAGUGCUCGGUUUACAAUCACGGCUGAUAUGACAGUCCUCUGGAAGAGGUGGAAAAUACACAAAAACUGCUCGACUGAUUUCAGAAGAUAAACAUAAGUGAAAAUGUUGUGAUCAAGUGUCUACUUACAGGUGAGUGGGAAUGGUGUGCAAAUCGAUCCUGAGGCAAUCAAUGAUGCAGCAGCUGGCCAGAGCUGAACACCGAUGCACUGAACGCCUCCAAAUCAAUUCACACACUGCUCUUGCUCAGGUUACCUGCCACUUCAGCAGGGAGGGAUAGAUGGAUGAAUGGAUGGAUGGGGAGCUGAGGGGAAAAUUGCACAAAAAGUAUUCUGGGACCUUUCUAAAUAGGCCACUUAUAUGCAGCUCUUCUUCCCUCACACAUACAUUUAUACUGCAUGUAAGGAUAUGCUAAGGUCACGAUGCAGUGCCUUGUUUGAAGCUUGGACGUUGCUCAAAGGGAGCAGAAUGGGGCUCUGGAGAAUGCCUGGGAAAUUG
rnacentral:lncRNA from 1 species